rnacentral:rRNA from 1 species
UGGGGGAUAUUGCACAAUGGAGGAAACUCUGAUGCAGCAACGCCGCGUGAGGGAAGAAGGUCUUCGGAUUGUAAACCUCAGUAGUCAGGGACGAAAGAAAUGACGGUACCUGAAGAGUAAGCUCCGGCUAACUACGUGCCAGCAGCCGCGGUAAUACGUAGGGAGCGAGCGUUGUCCGGAUUUACUGGGUGUAAAGGGUGCGUAGGCGGGAUAGCAAGUCAGACGUGAAAUACCGAGGCUUAACUUCGGGGCUGCGUUUGAAACUGUUAUUCUUGAGUGAAGUAGAGGCAGGCGGAAUUCCUGGUGUAGCGGUGAAAUGCGUAGAUAUCAGGAGGAACACCGGCGGUGUAGACGGCUUGCUAGACCAUAACUGACGCUGAGGCACGAAAGCGUGGGUAGCAAACA